GGGAGGAUCGCCCACCCUCUUCUCCUUCGUUUCACCGCCAAAUCCCGGCAUCCCGCCGCGCCGUACGCGAAUCCCCGAGAUCGCGGGGGUACGACCUUUUCCCAAUCGGAUCCCGGCGAUCCUGUGAAGCCCGCCGAAUCCACCAGAGAUCUGCCCCGUACACAGAUCCCGCGAAUCCCGCGCCCCAAAUCUCACCAGCGCACCGUCUCGUUACUCCGCGCCGCUCGCUGAGCCGGAGAUCCCGCAAAUCCCGCUAUCCCGUACGCAGAUCCCGGAGAUCACGCGUCGGCCGCCGUCAGUCGCGUCAGCGAAUCUCGAGGGCCAUGCUGAAAAUCUCGCCAUUGUCGCCGCUCGCGAGCCCCGUCGACAUCACUGUACACAGAUCCCGCAGAUCUAGCCGCGGAUCACGUCGAGCCAUCUUAUCACCGUCGAUCACCGGUGGAGAUCUGGGGAUUUGGUUCCUCGGAGCCCCUAUAAAACGGCGUCGGGGAGAGACGAGCGAAGGGGGCCCAGGGCAUACAACCCAUCCACACAUACACAGGAAGAGAGAGAGAGAGAGAGAGAGAGAGAGAGAGAGAGAGAAGUAACAGAGUAGGAAGAAGGGGAAGAAGAAAGAGAAAGAUAAGGAUAAGGAGAAGGAGAAGUAAAAAAAAAAAGAAAAAGUAAUAAAUAAAAAAAAAAGAGAGAGAAGGGAAGGCUUGGCGUUGCACACCGCCCGUCCAACCCCGCCGCCGCCGCCGCCGCCGUCGACGACGAUGGCGCCAUCCAACAAAGCAGCACCCACCUGAGGUGGGUGCAAAGAUAGUAGUAGAGUACCAUUUUUCUUGAAUAUAUCCAAAUGUACCCUAAACUAGAAAUCCUAGUAAAUUCCAUAAUUAAUUUUCUGUUGAAUCAUAUUUGGGGUAAUUACUUGGUUAGUUUUGUUGCCUACACACAAUUAUAACUUUAUUCAGGAAAAUCAUCGUAACACCUUUUGUUAUCAGGAGUAUUUAUAUAUUUUGUUAAAAUAAUAAUAAUAAUAAGUUUUCCACCUUUGAGAAGUCAUGCAUAUGCCUAUAUUACUAUUUUGAUUAACCUUUCACAAGUUGCAUUAUGUUAAACUGUCUCAACUACCACCAAGUUUCUUUCCUAACUAGUAUAACAAAACUGUGAUUUUAUACAACUCUGAAUAGUUCUGAUACA
rnacentral:lncRNA from 1 species